UACAGAGGUCCCAAGCGUUGUUCGGAUUCACUGGGCGUAAAGGGUGCGUAGGUGGUGAGGUAAGUCGGAUGUGAAAGCUCGGAGCUCAACUCCGAAAAUGGCAUUGGAAACUACCUUGCUCGAGGGUUGGAGGGGGGACUGGAAUGCUUGGUGUAGCAGUGAAAUGCGUAGAUAUCAAGCGGAACACCAGUGGCGAAGGCGAGUCCCUGGACAACUCCUGACACUGAGGCACGAAAGCUAGGGGAGCAAACAGG
rnacentral:rRNA from 1 species